rnacentral:rRNA from 2 species
GGCCCAGAUCGUUUACCGUGAAAAAAUUAGAGUGUUCAAAGCAGGCAGAUCCAAUUUUCUGCCACCGAAUACAUUAGCAUGGGAUAAUGGAAUAGGACCCUGUCCUCCUAUUUUCAGUUGGUUUUGGCAGCGCGAGGACUAGGGUAAUGAUUAAUAGGGAUAGUUGGGGGCAUUAAUAUUUAAUUGUCAGAGGUGAAAUUCUUGGAUUUAUGAAAGAUUAACUUCUGCGAAAGCAUCUGCCAAGGAUGUUUUCAUUAAUCAAGAACGAAAGUUAGGGGAUCGAAGACGAUCAGAUACCGUCGUAGUCUUAACCAUAAACGAUGCCGACCAGCGAUUAGGAGACGUUGAAUACAAAACACCACCAUCGGUUGCGGUCGUCCUUGGCGUCUCGGUUUCGGCCGGGGCGCGGGGACGGCUUAGCCCGGUGGCACCGGUGAAUGACUCCCUAGCAGCUUGUGAGA